GACGAAGGAUGCAAGCGUUAUCCGGAUUCAUUGGGUUUAAAGGGAGCGUAGGUGGCCUUAUAAGUCAGUGGUGAAAUCUCUGGGCUUAACCCAGAAAUUGCCAUUGAUACUGUAGGGCUUGAGUAUAGUUGCCGUCGGCGGAAUAUGACAUGUAGUGGUGAAAUACAUAGAGAUGUCAUAGAACACCGAUUGCGAAGGCAGCUGACGAAACUAUAACUGA
rnacentral:rRNA from 1 species